rnacentral:tRNA from 1 species
ACUAUUUUGGCAGAAAAAAUGUAAUGGUUUUAGAAGUCAUAAAUAUAUAGUAAAUUAAUUAUAUAAAUAGUA